GACGAACGCUGGCGGCGUGCUUAACACAUGCAAGUCGAACGGAAAGGCCCUGCUUGCAGGGUACUCGAGUGGCGAACGGGUGAGUAACACGUGGGUGAUCUGCCCUGCACUUCGGGAUACGCCUGGGAAACUGGGUCUAAUACCGGAUAGGAGCCAUUUUUAGUGUGAUGGUUGGAAAGUUUUUUCGGUGUAGGAUGAGCUCGCGGCCUAUCAGCUUGUUGGUGGGGUAAUGGCCUACCAAGGCGGCGACGGGUAGCCGGCCUGAGAGGGUGGACGGCCACAUUGGGACUGAGAUACGGCCCAGACUCCUACUGGAGGCAGCAGUGGGGAAUAUUGCACAAUGGGCGCAAGCCUGAUGCAGCGACGCCGCGUGGGGGAUGACGGCCUUCGGGUUGUAAACUCCUUUCGCUAGGGACGAAGCUUUUUGUGACGGUACCUAGAUAAGAAGCACCGGCUAACUACGUG
rnacentral:rRNA from 1 species